CUGGGCUCAGCGGAGACCUGCCACCAGGGCAUGGCCGCUCUGGGGUCCUGUGCUCCAAAGAGUGGGGAUAGCACUGGAGAAGUAAGACCUCAAGCUGCAGAGAAUCCACUAGACACGAUAAAUCAAUCCUGAACAUUCUGCCAUUGAUUCCCGAACUCCACCAGGGCUAGAGGCGGAAGAGGAGUCGACGGGGGAGCUGCGGGGAGCUGCGGCUGUCGAUCCUGCGCCAUGAGGAUGGGAGGCACUGAAAGACAUGUAUCCCAAACCAUACCCAUGGAACCUGAAACAAGUAGAGCACAAGAAGACAGAUCACCAGGACAAUCCACUGACAUAUGAGGUUGUCCAACUAGAGAGAGAACUGCCCCACAGACACUGAAUGGCUUAACAAUGUCUAAAACCAACUACUGGGUUGGUGAAUGCGCCCUGGGGUUGUCCUCAUGUUUGUCAGAUGCCAUUCUGAGUGCCUACUCCUAUACCUUAUUCUACAUUCUACCCAAGUCUGAUGCAAUAUUUGUAAUAGUGACUUAUGGUAUGGCUAUUGUUCUAAAUUAAGUGUUUUAUAGUUCUGGGUAGUUUGUUAGUAUGUUAAUUUAGUAGAUGCUUUUCUAAAUAGCUUGCCACAUGCCCAGUGACUUGGAGAUACCUGGUUAUCCCAUUGAUCAUAUAGGAACUGUUAUUUCCAUAAAAUAGGAAUAUUUUUGGUAAUUUAAGCUGUUCAGAACUGGCUGUUCUGUUGGAUAGCAAACUUCCAAUUGCUGCAGAAACUUUCUACUUAAUGUGGAAUAAACUGAAGAGAGAUGCAGAAGUUUCCACCAUAAGCACCUGAAUUCGUGAAAGAGGAGCAACCUAACAUUUAGUUGGGAAUGACAAUUAUGAGCUUAGAGAGACAAGGCGGGUGAGAUAGUAUCUUUUAUUGGACCAACUUCUGUUGGUGGGAGAGAGGAGCUUACACAAAGCUCUUCUUCUGUGUGUAAGCUCAAAAGCUUCUCUCUCUCACCAACAGAAGUUGAUCCAAAGAAAGAUAUUACCCACCUACCUUAUCUCUCUAAUAUUCUGGGACCAACAUGGCUAUAACAACACUGCGUAUACAGUGAUGAACUUGUGGAACUCAUGGAUUACUGCUAAUAAGUCAAAUGAAUGGGCUGCAUGUUAUAUUUUGUAAAUAGGACUGUUGGGAUAACAUUACAGAUAUGAGUGGGGAGAGUAGUACUCAAAGGGAAAUGUCAGGGUUAAAUUUACCUGUGUCCUGUCCCUUUAAGGAUUGAAGGUCUGCUGAGGGGGUUGAAGAAGAAAAGCUGUGUAUGCUCUCCAGAAGAACUUAGCAGCAAUGGGCCUUGUGUGAGCUGUGUUUGUUUGUUUUGAUACUAAGUUUAAUAAAAUUCCAGUCUUAAAACUGUUCCUGGCCUGGGAGUGUAACAUCAACACCUAAUUGUCCGGAGCUUGUUUGUGCAGGGUCUACUCUCCACUGCAAAUCUAUCCUUUAUUUUUGUUCCCUCUUACAAUACUAAUCAAAAGUAGUAAAUACAUCCCAUUAUUA